rnacentral:tRNA from 1 species
GCUAUUUCUUGGGCCGCUCCCGCGGCAUAUGGAGGUUCCCAGGCUAGGGGUUGAAUCGGAGUUAUAGACACUGGCCUACGCCAGACCCACAGCAACGCGGGAUCCGAGCUGCGUCUGCAACCUACACCACAGCUCACGGCAACGCCGGAUCGUUAACCCACUGAGCAAGGGCAGGGACUGAACCCGCAACCUCAUGGUUCCUAGUCGGAUUCGUUAACCACUGCGCCACGACGGGAACUCCCAGAUUCCAACUUUUUAAUCUGUUUUUAGCUUGCAAUGAAAAUUUUGAAACCCUCUUGUCUCUUCAUUUCCUGGUGUCCAGACACAUGUAUUCACUUCAUUCAGUGGUUAAUUCAGCACUGAGCUGCUAAUCACUACGUCUCCGGGGCAGAGGGACAGGGUGCUCUAGACCAGAGUUGGCAGCCAUCUCCACAAAGAACUGGCAACCACGGAUGCUCCCCAUGAUCCAGGCAGGCAUUGUGUCAGCAGCCUUUAUGCAAAUGAUUUCACUUAAAGCCCUCACGCCUAGCCUCCGCUUAGAAGGAGGAAAACUGAGGCAGGGUUUGUGAGCAUGAGAACUGAGAUGCCCACACUGACACCAACGCCAGAGUGUGCAGUUCUCAGACAGUGGCACCACUAUCAGGGGAUAGUUUCAUGGCUGAGAUCCCACAUGAAAUAUCAGACUAAUAAAACAUGGGUCAGAAAUCAGAGUUUGGCUAUUAAUUAUAUUUAGUCUGAAGUGAAAAAGUGAUAAUAGUAACGCAGGAUCCAAGCCGCAUCUGCAGCCUACACCACAGCUCACGGCAACACCAGAUCCUUAACCCACUGAGAGGGGCCAGGGAUUGAACCCACAUCCUCAUUAGUAGGGUUCCUUAAUGCUAGGCCACAACAGGGAUGCAAAAACAUGAUAGAUUUUUAAACCCCACAAGAAGUGUUGUAUGAGGGUGCUUAAAGCAAACUUCUGAAUAGUGAAACAACUUUUUUUUUUUUUUUAAAUAGGGAUUGUUUGCUACAGGCAGAUUAAAUCACCUGCCUAUUAACUUGUAUUUUGGUUUGAAAGAGGCACCACUGAAGGGAUCCGGUUGCCUGGAGCAAGUGUAGCUUCAAAAUUGCUUGCAGAGUGAAAAAGGAAAUAACAGCAUUAAAGUAUAGGUGAUUCAGGUUUAACCUGCAACCCCGGUUCUGCAGCUAGAACCUGCACGUGGUUACAGGAAAGCCCUCAUCACGUGGGUGAAAAGAGAGGUUUCCCCAUGGCCCAAACUCACCAGAAAAUUGUGUCAGAAAUUUCUGUUCUUCAACCUCAUGAAAGGAUGAAAAUGCAACCUGACCCUCCCAGAACCCAGGAAGUUAAUAAGAAGCUCUAAAUGCCCUCGAAUUCCAGACCCUGUUCCCUAUAGGUAAAAGAUCAUACUUUUUGCUGUUUUAGGGCUUGCUUUCUGUUCUGUACAAAACUAUGUGGAAGGGGAAAAACAGGCCCCUGAGUACGCGCCUCUAGGCAUGAAACUCUUGAAACUGCUCGAGAUAACAGGGAAAAGGGUUCUUAACUGCUUGUUUGGCUUCUGUAAAGCUGCUUGCAUAAGAUAAAAAGAGAAGUUAAUCGCAUAACCGACCCCAGUAAGAUCGGUUGUGCUAUAAAAUGUUGAAAAUCCUGAUAAAUAUAUCUUGGCGACAAUAUAUCUCCCCCGCCCAGGGACAGGCACAAACACGUAACUCCAGAACAACUUAAAAUUAAUUGGUCCGCGGGCUCUCGAAGUUUUAAAUUGACUGGUUUGUGAUAUUUUGAAAUGAUUGAUUUGUGAAGUGCGGGCUUUGUUGUGAACCCCGGGCUUUGUUGUGAAUCCCAUAAAAACUGUCCUGACUCCUCACUCGGGGCCGCAGUCCUCUACCCCUGCGUGGCGUACGACUGUGGGCCCCAGCGCGCUUGGAAUAAAAAUCCUCUUGCUGUUUGCAUCAAGACCGCUUCUCGUGAGUGAUUUGGGGUGUCGCCUCUUCCGAGUCCGGACGAGGGGGAUUUUCACUCGACUGGCCUUUCACUCAGAAUGAAAGGACAUAACCAAAGAAAUACAACUGCAAACUUCCCCAUUAUUGCCCUGAGGGUUCGUCUUUUAUUUCAAACAGUGCUUCUGGGGAUUCUGUGCUGGUGAGAGAGACACAGAAAAGGCGAUGCUCUAAAAAAGAACCUAUGAUACUGGCUUAAAGAGUAAAGAUGGAGUGAGGGAAAUGCCAGAAACAUCAGUAUCCACUUGAGCAAGUAGGCUGACAUGUGGAAGUUUGAGUGUCGAAGGGCUCCCAUGCUUGUAAGUUGUUGCCCCUGCCUCCUCAUCCUCCUCUUCUCUUACAGAGGACGUUGAGUUGCCUGGAAAUUCCCUCUUUGCUCCUCUGUGUCUUCGUCCUUAUCCUUAUCAGUUGUUUAGGGUCUGUGUCACUUCCCCUAAAACUCCCUGAAACCACAGCUAUUUUCUGUUUUCUCUGGAUUCCUGAUGUUCCAGCUUCUUCCUGUGCAGAAAAGGCUCCCCCCCACCCUCUGUUUUGGUCACUCUUGUGUUCCCUGAAUGGUAACUUGAACAUAAAUUCCACUGAACAACUGUUUAUUCAUCACUUACUACACUCAAAAGGGAAGGUUCCAGGAGGGUAAAGAGGAACCAGCCAUCUUUAAGCAUCUUCCAGUCCAACAGGAGGGAUCAGACAAGAGUGAAAAAUGACGAGUACAAGGAAGAACAUGAUGAAAUUGGAGAUCAGAGGGUGGGAGAAAUCCUAUUUGCAAGUUUGGCCAUGUCACUCUGUUUGUUUUUCCCUUGGUCUCCUGGCUGAAAAGAGAAGGUCCAAACUUGGGAAGCAGGUGACCUGUGUGCCCUGGAUGGUGGGCGUGAUGUGACCUCUGCAGUCACCCUGACUUGUGCUGUGCCUGUUCCCAGCCCUUGACUCCCUGCUCUGAUCAUCUGUGCUCUUUCCUGUCCCUAUGCUGUGAACGCACUGCCACUUUUGUCCUCCAGUCUGUUCUUCAUUUCAAAUUCCAGUUCAUCCUUGGAAACUUGAAUUUCACUUCUUGCUAGUGCUUUCAGUGAUUCCCCAGUCAAAACAGUCUGCUCCUUCUUUUGAACGUGCCACCUGGCAGGUAUUUUGGUUUAACUAUCAUCUUACUGCGUCACAAACAUGAGUUAAGAACCCUUUCCAUCAAGGCCAGGAAAGCAGGUGCUGACUGAAGCCUUUGGGUGGCGGACUCCUGGCAGUGCUGGAGUUGUGACUGCGGCAGGCAGAUGAGUGAGAACAACCUACCUGGUGUUUGAACGUGUUUGAGCCCUGGAUGGGAUCUGACAGGAGAGGGAACCACCAUGCAACCAGGCAGAGACAGGACUCCCACCCGCACCCCCAGGCCCCGGCACUUCUCUGGGACAUGCCCUUUUCAGUGAGAAAUUGUUCUGGCCUUGACCCAGCUUUGCCACCUGUCUUAUCAGUGGUUAUUCAUGCCUGGGCUCUGCUUUCUGAGAAUUGAUAAAGUAAUCAGUGCUCUAGGCUUCUGAUGACUAUGUGUAAAGUGUGCAUUAUGUGUCAUCUCACUAAUACAAAACAGUGGUAGGUCUGACACCACAUUUAAAAGACCUGUUUCUAUAAAGACAGUGAUUUUUAUGGUUUUCAGGUUUUCAUUCCCUCUGAGAAAGUUUGUCCUGAACAAAUUCAGCACCAGAAAGAUGUUUUCUGGCAUCCAUCCUUUUAGACGUGGGGAUUCUGCAAACUUUGAGGCUCUUAGGGAUACCAGCAAGCUCAGAGUUAAAUUCUGAGUCAAAGACAUACAAAUGCUUUUAGGCAAAACAUGUUUUUGGCUUGCUUUCUCUGCUGUCUUUUUUCUUUUGGUCAUGGUAUGCAGAGGCCUGAGGGAUCUCAGUUCCCAGACAAGGGAUUGAACCCAGACUGCAGCACAGUGGUGAAAGCACUGAGUCCUAACUACUAGACCACCGGGGAACUCCCGGGUUUUCUGUUGUCUUACUCAUUAGCAUCCAUUGGUUGGGGCCUCCUGUGUGCCUGGUGCCUCUUUCCAGGUGGAGCCUCUGCCCUAAGGAGCUCCCAUUGUACUAGAAAAAAAGACCAAAGUAGGAAACUGAGGAAACACCAGGUUCUGAUUUUUUUAUACGUGGCUUGCUCUUAUGUCUUUUGUUAGUUGAUUUUGGGAAGCUAUACUGUGCUUUUGCUCCUUAGAUUUUCUAUCAAUGUUGUUAGUGAUGUUGAGCAUCUUUUCAUGUGCUUUUCAGCCAUCUGUCUGUCGUCUCUGGAGAAAUGUCUACUUCGAUCUUCUGACCAUUUUUUUUUUAAUUGAGCUUUUUUUUUUUGACAUAAAGCUGUGUGAGAUGUUUGUGUAUAAAGUAGAUAAAUAAUAAGGACCUGCUGUAUAGCACAGGGAGGUCUACUCAGUGUUCUGAAAUAUCCUAUCUGAGAAAAAAGAAUGGAUAUAUGUAGAUGCAGGGUUCAUUUUGCUGUAAACCUAAAGCUAAUAGAACAUUGUAAAUCAACUAUACCCCAAUAAAUUUAAAAAAGAUUUCUAAAAUAAAGUUUAUAUCUUCAAAAAGUUUGUUAGGGUACCAGUGGGAUGGGACAGGAUGGAUGAGUGUUUGUGUGUUCCCAUCAGUGUCUACAGACCGUGGCACUUCUGGACAGCACAUUGUGGGGGGUGGGGGACACAGUCACAGGAGGAGAAUGCAGGCCCGUGGCACCUAGGACUCUCAGACUGCACCCUGGAGGAGCUAAAGGUGACAGCAGAUUUGUGACAUUCACGCAUGGUGCCAGACUCUCCGUCAUAAACAAAUACUUGGUAAAGUGAAGGUUUGGGAGGGUCUGCAAACACCGGGAGGCCUUAUAGCUGCCCGCCCACCUUGAACUUAUGCCAGAAGCUCUCAGCACCUUGCCAUAUCCCAAGUAUCCAUUCCUGUGAAAUAUGAGCUCCCAUGGUCACCUGUGUUGUUAAAACCCUGUGCAUAUUUCAUCUGUUCUUGAGGAAUUUUAUGCCACUUAAUUUAUAGAUCAUUUCCUUUUUUUUUUCUUUUUCUUUCUCCCCCCCCUCCUUUUUUUUUUUUUUUUUUUUCUCCCCCCCCCCCUUUUUUUUUUUUUUUUUUUUGCUUUUUAGGGCCACACUCGCAGCAUAUGGAGAUUCCCAGGCUAAAUGUCCAAUGUGCCAGCCUACGCCACAGCUACAGCAGAGUCAUAUCUGCGA